rnacentral:rRNA from 1 species
AAUAGAUACCCGGGUAGUCCACGCCGUAAACGAUGAAUACUAGGUGUGGGGGUUUCAACACCUCCGUGCCGCCGCUAACGCAUUAAGUAUUCCGCCUGGGGAGUACGGUCGCAAGAUUAAAACUCAAAGGAAUUGACGGGGACCCGCACAAGUAGCGGAGCAUGUGGUUUAAUUCGAAGCAACGCGAAGAACCUUACCUACACUUGACAUCCCUUGCAUUACUCUUAAUCGAGGAAAUCCCUUCGGGGACAAGGUGACAGGUGGUGCAUGGUUGUCGUCAGCUCGUGUCGUGAGAUGUUGGGUUAAGUCCCGCAACGAGCGCAACCCUUGUCGUUAGUUACUACCAUUAAGUUGAGGACUCUAGCGAGACUGCCUGGGUUAACCAGGAGGAAGGUGGGGAUGACGUCAAAUCAUCAUGCCCCUUAUGUGUAGGGCUACACACGUGCUACAAUGGCUGGUACAGAGAGAUGCAAUACCGCGAGGUGGAGCGAAUCCCAAAAGCCAGUCUCAGUUCGGAUUGAGGUCUGCAACUCGACCCCAUG